rnacentral:tRNA from 1 species
AGGGUAAUAGCUCAGUGGUAGGGCGCAUGCUUAGCAUGCACGAGGUCCUGGGUUCAACCCCCAGUACCUCCA